AACUAGGAUUAGAUACCCUAUUAUUCAUAAAACUAGCACUAGUACUACCUGAAAAUCAAUAAAUUAAAAGAAAUUGGCGGCUUUUUUAAAAUUUUAGAGGAGUUUAUUCUAUAAUGGACUCAACCCCAAAACCUUACUUAACUUUGUAUUAUAUAAAUCAACUUGUAUACCUCUAUAGCUUAAAUAAAAAAAUUUAUUAUCAAAUCCUUAUAUAAGGAUUAAAUUAAGUCAAGGUGCAGUAUAUGAUUAAGAAUGAAAUAAACUAUAUUAAUAUAUUAUUAAAUCAAAAAUUAACUUUAAAUUAAAUUAAAUUAAGAAAAAUUUAAAAGUAAAUUUUAAUUAUACUUUAAAUUUGAAUAAAAAAUAAUGAGUGUACAUAUUGCCCGUCACUCUUUAUCUAAAGAUAAGUCGUAACAUAGUAA
rnacentral:rRNA from 1 species